AUUGAACGCUGGCGGCAUGCCUUACACAUGCAAGUCGAACGGUAACAGGUCUUCGGAUGCUGACGAGUGGCGAAUGGGUGAGUAAUACAUCGGAACGUGCCUAGUAGUGGGGGAUAACUACUCGAAAGAGUGGCUAAUACCGCAUGAGAUCUACGGAUGAAAGCAGGGGAUCGCAAGACCUUGUGCUACUAGAGCGGCCGAUGGCAGAUUAGGGAGUUGGUGGGAUAAAAGCUUACCAAGCCGACGAUCUGUAGCUGGUCUGAGAGGACGAUAAGCCACACUGGGACGGAGACACGGCCCAGACUCCUACGGGGGGCAGCAGUGGGGAAUUUUGGACAAUGGGCGCAAGCCUGAUCAAGCAAUGCCGCGUGCAGGAUGAAGGCCUUCGGGUUGUAAACUGCUUUUGUACGGAACGAAAAGCCCUGGGUUAAUACCCUGGGGUCAUGACGGUACCGUAAGAAUAAGCACCGGCUAACUACGUGCCAGCCGCCGCGGUAAAAC
rnacentral:rRNA from 1 species